rnacentral:lncRNA from 1 species
GUGAUGGUUUUUUAGCCGCGGUGACACUUUUUCCCCUUCCUGCUUCAUGAAUCACAUGCUUUUCAUGUGGUUCUUGGAUUAUGUUUUUUUAGUUUGAGAACAGAUGGAGAUGAUGAUGAUGAUGAGAAUGGAUGGAUUUUGGUUUGAUUUUGUGUUUGUUGAUGUUGUACGAAUUAUUUGAUAUGAGAAGAGAUUAAUCUGAAUUUGUUUGGAUUUCUUGUUGUUUGUUGUUGAACCUGUGUUGAUUGUUGUUGCUAU